rnacentral:rRNA from 1 species
UAUACGACUCUCGGCAACGGAUAUCUCGGCUCUCGCAUCGAUGAAGAACGUAGCGAAAUGCGAUACUUGGUGUGAAUUGCAGAAUCCCGUGAACCAUCGAGUCUUUGAACGCAAGUUGUGCCCGAGGCCUUUCGGUUGAGGGCACGCCUGCCUGGGCGUCACGC